AUGUUCACAGGAGAAGAGAAGGGGUUCCUCAUCAAGAACCCUAAACACUCAAAAAUUCAACAAAAUUAAAGAGAAAUCGAGCCGGAAAAUUGGGGCUUUUAAUAAAAUCGUGAUCACCAAGCUUAGGGGAUCACAAGUUUGACGCCUAACAAGCUAGAUGGAAGCUUGUGGAUGAAACGGGUCAAACGGAGCAAGUACGAAAAGAAAAGCGUGGCAUGGAUGCGAGGUAAAAUUUUAGCACCGGAGGACGAUCAAGCACAAUGAAGAACCGAACACAAUCAAGAAAUAAGCUUCCGCAUGACGUUUCGUUGUUACUUUUAAAUGACGAACUUAAUUACAUUAUGUUCUAAACUUUUAAAUUGUAAAAGGUUUUAAUAAGCCCAUAUUUCCGAUGUAUAUGUAAUCUUAAUUACAUGAUUGUUUUCGUAAAACAUACGUUAAACCUCGAUUUAUAAG